UACGAACUGUGCGAACGUUAUUCGGAAUCACUGGGCUUACAGGGUGCGUAGGCGGCUUAGCAAGUCAGGUGUGAAAGCCCCCGGCUCAACCGGGGAACUGCGCUUGAAACUGCUGAGCUCGAGUCAGCUAGAGGUACACGGAACUUCCAGUGGAGCGGUGAAAUGUGUUGAUAUUGGAAGGAACACCGGAGGCGAAGGCGGCGUUCUGGACUGCAACUGACACUGAUGAACGAAGGCCAGGGGAGCAAACGGG
rnacentral:rRNA from 1 species